ACACGUCUUACCAUAAAACAGGAAGUCCACCGCUUUUUCUUUUCGAACACACAGAUAUGCCAUAAAGAAUACUGCAGCAAGAACAGCUACUUCUACCCCCAGGAUAACCAGUGGCCUAAAGGAAAAUGAAGAGUGCAGCUUUAGACUGGGAAAUGAGCACCUGCCUAAAAGAAAGCCACUGGUGUGACUGGCACUAAUUUGAACCCCAUCAAUCCAGGGGGGCGGUAGAAAGCCUCGGAACGACAAGCCUUGAGGACGUGAGUGGUUUCCCCCCAUGGGCUAUGGGCCAAGGCUACUGGUGCUGCAGACUGAUACAGAAGCUUAAAAUUUUAACUUCUAAAUAAAAAAAUUAUUUAGUAAUAAUAAUUUAUUAAUAAAACAUUUUAUCCUAUCCACUGAAAGCAUGCUGACAAUAGCAUUCUGCUGGGACAAA